rnacentral:tRNA from 1 species
AAAAGAUGCCUGAAAAAGGAUUAUUUUGAUGUAAUAAAUUAUGUUUUACAAACUCUUUUUAA